ensembl:lncRNA
AAUUCAUUGAACUAUGGUUAAUGCUAAUGAAGAUAGAUCUAUGAAAAAAUCCAUCAAAAUGGUUUGAAUUCAUUUCUUGGUGACAAUACAGGUGAAUUAAUAAAUGAUAUGCGUAAGAUCAAAUAACAUCUGCAAAUGAAUUAGGUUUUACCAAGUAUUUUCAAAGGGGAAUCAUCAUCACAUUUGGGAAGUAGUGCGUGUAGUUCAUGCUGGCACUAAAAUAUGAUUUGCUACACCACAGUAAAAUCUCAGAAGAAGUUUUAGAAGACUUUUUGUUUAGCUUAGAAACUGUAGGAUGGGCAGGUGGCUGCAUGGUGGUCUUUCAGUAUGAUCAGGAGAACAAAAUGAUAGGUAGCAUUAGCAUAGACUAAUAGCAUAGUGUAUUAGCAUAGGUAGCUCAGACUACAGUGACCAUUAACCAGUAUUGCUACUCUUCAGUAUCUUUGUGUUCAGAUAUUCCAGUUAUGUUUUUUGAUGGUAUAAUGUAAACAAAUUUAUAGUCUCCGUACAGAAGUAAAAUGGUGAAGUUUAAUGACGUACUAUAUAUAUGUCAGACCAAAUGAUCCAGUGGUCCCUGCUGGCUUCAGAAACAAUGAAUCUGUGAAUGAACAGUGUUUAAUGACUGGUUAAAGCCAUAUUCAAUGGAGAAUCCAGACUUGAACAGCAGAGGAACCCUGCAGGAAUUCUCAGUGUGAUAUACAUUCUUCUUUGAGAUACGAAGAAUCAAACAGUUCCACCCAGGCUAUUCUCUUUCUUGUUUAUGAAAGAGUUUGGGCAGACAGAUAUUGUAGAGAUAAGAAAUGUAAAUUAAACUCAUCAAUGAUGUUGGAUUUCAAGAGGGCAGAGUCUUCCAGGGAGUCUCAUAGAUUGCCAUUCAUUCAUUUUUCUCUUCUUAAUGUUCCAUGCACAGCUUGACUUCUGGAAGCACUGAGAUUUUUGAAGUUAGGCUCAAAUCUGAGAUUUUGGUGUUAGGGCCUGAAAAAUCCACAUAAGUCUGUCAGGCCAGAAAACCUGGAGGUUAGGUAGGUUGACGCGUUAUUUGGACAGGAAACAGCUUGCUGUAGGGAGCUACUGGUUGCUUUAUAUUUUCAGAGUUGUCAUCAGAAUCAAAACAGCUUGAAGCAGCACUUAUGACUCAUUUUCAGUGUGGAACAAAGCCAUAAGUUAAGCACCACAUGCUAUGAAUGUAACACAUAACAGGCCCCUUAGCUACACCAAAAAGUUUUACAUGGUUUUCAAGUGUCAGUCUAUUUUUCCUUGUGCCUAAGGCUCUAUGACAUCUACACAAUCAUAUUCAGGUUCAUUCCUCUCCUCACUGCCCAUUAUAACCUGUCAUUCUUCGGCUUCUUCACUUACUAUUCCACUACUAUGGAUUUAAUCUGCAGUCUUCUAUGCACUAAAUUUAAGGCCUAGCAGUUUUCAUGUAUUAUUCACUUCCAUUUGCUAUACUUGUUAAACAGUAUAUGUUCAUUGCACUUAAUAAAUCACCAUUCCCUUUCUUUCUUGUAUUUCCCAGAACAGAGUUAUUACUCAAUCUAUCUCUACCAACAGCAGCUUCAUAGCUACCACAGAUUUCUCUGUAUUCAUGAGGCUAUUUAUCACUGUACCUGUCUUAAAUAUUAACAAAGUAAGCUUGCUCGAAAAGCUUAAACUCUAAUCUCUUGGAGGUGUGUGUGGAGACAUAUAUACAUCUGACUUUAAGUUGUGUGAAAUGUCUACCCAUUGGUUGUGUGACAUCCACCUCAACUUGGCUAAUCUGAGGUUAUUAAUAUGCUCAUCAAAGCAGAAUAGUAGGGAAGUUAUCUUCUGUAUGUGUCUUUUACAGAUAAAGAAGGGACUGAAGUCUGAAGACUUUAUUAAUUUUGCAUAUCUGCUUUUGCUCUCAUCCCCUCAGGAGAAUAUUACUUAGAGUCAGUGGCCGGGGUGUUUGCUCUUUCUAUGCCUAGGAAAGAAGACUCUUGACUGCAUCUCUUCCCUUCCUUUAGUAGGGCCUGGGGAACUAGUCUGAGGUUGAAGCUGGCUGCCAUAAGGUGGGGAGCUGCCUACAUGGGUGGGUGAAGGCAAGCACCAGCACGUGCUGCCAGUGACUUCAGUCAGUGCUCAGUUAUUACUUCUGUAGCUGAAACUAAACUGCCAGUGCUGAUGAGAUUAAAUCUGCUCCAGUGUUUCCUUGUGUGAUUCUUUACCUCACACCUUCAUUCCCAUUUCCCUUAUGAAUUAUUUUUCUUUUGGCUUUCUUCAAACAUUUUCUGUUUGGUUGCAGCCAUUUAGCUAGAUCACAUAGAUGAUUUUUCAGCUUUAAUUUGACUUUUCUUCAUUUACUAAUUCGGUAUCUUCAUGCCAGGAAAAAUAUAUAUAUAUAUCAAUCUAGCAUAAAUCUUUAGAGGAUGGCAUUGGGCAUAAGCCUAUUCAUGAAUGUUCCCUCAUUAUAUUAAUCAAACCAACUCUUUAAAAUAAAUGACAAGCUAAUCAGAAAGUUUGAACUGCCUCUUCAGUGUAUGAAGGCUUUUUUUCUCAAAGAUUAUUACCUUGGACUCUUGCAAUUAGACAUAAUAUUUCUUUAAAGUGGAACACUUGUUUUUGACAGAUCUAAAAAAUGACAAACUCAGUUGAGUGACAGUUCAAAGAGUUGACCUUUUGUUCCCAGCAAUCUGUCUCAAGAUUAUGGGGAGAAAAAAAAGAAAGAAAAAGAAAAAGAAAAAGAAAAAAAAGAAAAAGAAAAAGAAAAAGAAAAAG